rnacentral:rRNA from 1 species
CCUACGGGUGGCAGCAGUGAGGAAUAUUGGUCAAUGGCCGGAAGGCUGAACCAGCCAUGCCGCGUGAAGGUCAGUGCCCUAUGGGCGUUAAACUUCUUUUGUGCGGGAGCAAUAAUGGUCACGUGUGGCCAGACGAGAGUACCGUACGAAUAAGCAUCGGCUAACUCCGUUCCCGCAGCCGCGGUAAUACGGGGGAUGCAAGCGUUAUCCGUAUUUAUUGGGUUUAAAGGGUGCGUAGGCUGUGAGGUAAGUCAGCGGGGAAAUGCCCCCGCGCAACGGGGUGAAGUGCCAUUGAUACUGCCUUGCUGGAAUGCGGAUGACGUGGGAAGAAUGUGUGGUGUAGCGGUGAAAUGCAUAGAUAUCACGCAGAACACCGAUUGCGAAGGCAUCUCACGAAUCCGCGAUUGACGCUGAUGCACGAAAGCGUGGGUAUCAAACAGGAUUAGAUACCCGAGUAGUC